CCCAUCUUUUUAACAUGGGUGCUGAAAUCCAAACUCAGGUUCUUAGCAAUUGAUCUUUUAUCUACUUACUAAGUUCCAGCCCUACUUUGUUAUUGUUUUCUACCUAAACCUAGUUUCUCAUCUGACCUAGGGGUUAAGACUUUCUUAGGAGAUUGUUAGGAAGAAACUUUGAGAUACAUCUAAUAUAUACUCAGCACUCAGUAUCAACUGAUACUUAGCAGUUGUAUUAGUUAGGAUCACUAUUGCUGUGUGGGGACAUCAUGACAAAAAGCAACACUAGGAGGAAAAGGUUUAUUUUACUUUUCCUUACUACAGUUCAUCAUUGGAAACCAAGGUAGGAACUCAAAUGGGACAGGAACUUGGAGACAGGAGCUGAUCCACAGACCCUGGAGGGAUGUUGCUUACUGGCUUGCUCUCAUGGCUUGUUCAGCCUGCUUUGUGGUAGAACCUUGGACCACCAGCCCAGGGAUGGCUCUAUCCUUAAUGGGCUGGGCCUUCCUGCAUCAACCACUUAAGAAAAUGCCCUUUAAGCUGGGCAUAGUGGUAUACACCUUAGGAACCAGAGGCAGGCAUAUCUCUGUGAGUUUGAGACCAAUUUGGUCUAUAUAAUUGAGACCCUGUUUCAAUUUUAAAAAGGAAAGACAGAAAAUACCCGACAGGCUUGCCUGCCUGCAACCUGAUCUUAUGAAGGCAAUUUGUCAAUUGAGGUUCCUUCCCCUCAGAUGACUUUAGUUUGUGACAUAAAACUAGCCAGGACAGCAGUUAUGCCAGAUGGUAUUUUCUACAGUAAAAACAGUGGGAUUGACCCUGAGAAAGAUUACAUGACUUGUAAGUUGUUAAAUUUGUUUGGUUUCUUCUUCACAUGUGGGAGAUUACAGACUUGAAAGUUCCUAAAUUUGUCUAAUUCUUAGAGCCUACUUCCUGGUACAUCUGGUAAUAAACCAAGGACAAGGUUGUUGAUAAGGGAUUUAUAAUCUCUCUUCUAGUGCUGGCACUUCAAGCAAAUAUUUGUUUUUAUUUUUGUAUAAAAAAUUUACGUUUAUCUGUUUUGUGUGUGUAUGGGAGUACAUGUUGAGAUCAGAGGACAACUAGUUGAAGUUGGUUCUCUCCUUUUCAUGUAGGUCUUGAGGAUUUCUCAGGCUUUCAGACUUGGCAACAAGUCCAUCACCCAUUGAGCCAAUUGCCUCCCCAGACAUUUGUUUUAACAAACUUGAACUUCAUGGAGUUCAAAUGACUCACAGUUUAUUAAGUGUGACAUUGGCAAGGAUUUUUGGAGUGGAGGUUUUUUCUCUGCCCCUUCCAUUUCCCUUUCCUCUUGCUCCUGUGAGUAAGGGGAGGAGUCUGUUUUAUACCUGCAUGUGCCAGAUGUGAGAACUGUGUGUCAUCGUGAUAUCAUGCCUAUUAACCCAAGGUUAGUUUUCAUUCCCACUGAAUGAAGAGUUCUUUGCUUAUUGUGUGUGUGUAUGUGAACACUUGUGGGAGUGUGCAUGUGAAUACAUGCUUGCACAUGUUCGCUCAUUCAGUAUAGGUCAGAGGACAACAUUGGGAGCCAGUUCUUUCCUUAUACAUGUGGCUUCUGGGGAUCAAACUUAGCUCACGAGCCUUAGCGACAAGUAUUCUUGUAUGCUGAGCCAUCUCACUGGCUCUAAGCAUAUUGGUUUUUUUGUUUGUUUAGUUUUGUUUUUUCUUUUUUUGUUCUUUAAGACUUAUUUAUUUUAUGUAUGUGAGUAUACUGUUGUUGCCUUCAGACACACCAAAAGAGGGCAUCGGAUUCCAUUACAGAUGGUUGUGAGCCACCAUGUGGUUGCUGGGAAUUGAACUCAGGACCUCUAGAAGAGCAGUCAGUGCUCUUAACCACUGAGCCAUCUCUCCAGCCCAAAAGUAACUUUUAUUAGCCAGAUGUAAUUGUUAUUUUGGUGGUUUACUGGUGAAUAAACUCACCCUUUCUAGCUCUUUCUGAACACUGGCUGGCUGAUUUAAUUCAGCUGUUCUGGUCCAAACUUUUCUCUAAACUGACUGAUUUAAACUGGCUUUUCUUGGCGUCUGACUGAAUUGCUCUGCUUGGUCUCAAACUAGCUGUUCUAAUCUUCUGGUUCCUUCUCAUUUUCUGGCUUGUUCUGUCUUUACCUGCAACCUGUCUCUGUAAAACUGUCCUCCUCCCAGCCUCCUAUUGCCUCUCUUCCUGGUCUGUUUCUUUAAGUUGCCUCUCCUGUGCUGCUCUUGUGAGUGUUGGGAGUAUCCUAUCUUGGACUCAUUCUAUCAGAUCUUUCUCUGAUUCAUCACUUUGCCUGCCCAUCAAUUAGAUGUUACUUGUUGAAGUUGGUUCUCUCCUUUUCAUAGGUCUCAAGGACUGAACUCGGGUUAUCAGACUUGGCAAUAGGCGCCAUUACCCAGUGAGCCAUCUUGCCUCGCCAAACAUUUAAUUUUACAAACAUGGUUGCUUCCUUCUACAAACUAACCUUGCCUACAUUGUUUGGGAUUAGGGGUGUGUACUAAGGGC
ensembl:lncRNA